GGAAAUUGAAGCACACAGAGGGGAAGUGACUUGACUGAGGUCACCAGCAGAGCCAAGAAAAGAACUCAGCGCUCCUGAAUCCUAGUGUCGUGCGCUGUCUGCUGGGCCGUUUAUAGACCUUUGUAAUUGGAUUGGACAAAGCACUAGCAUCAGCUAGUGGUGCUCGGUGGCUACAGAAUGGAUAGAACUUCCUGACUUAUCCAUCUGGGUCUCUGGUUUGUAGCUUGUCAUCCCAGAUGCCACACAACUCUCUAUGGAGGAAGGGGAGUUGAUUGCAUCAAUUAUAGGAGAACAUGUCCCCAGCUGGUGUACCACGGGUAUAGCUCCUUUGACUUCAGUGGAGAGAAGCUGAUUUAUAUCACCUCAGGAUCUCGCCCCAUGUCUCUUGAAAAUUUUCUGUCAUUCUCACGGCUUUCUUCCCGCUGCACCAUGUUCAACAAAUUCUGUAAUUCCCACAAAGGUCCUUGCUUAAAAUCCAACACCCUAGUGUAUACCCUAGUGUAUUAUGAUGCCCCAGUUAAUUAUUAACGGUAGUGCUUACAGGCCCAGUCAUGGCCCCAUUGUGCUAGAUGCUGUAAGAUACAUAGUAAGAGAGUUCCUGCCUCAAAGAGUUUGCAACCUAACUAGGCAAGACAGAAAAGAAAUAAUUUUAUCCCCAUUUUACAGAUGGGGAAUCUAAGUACAGAGGGAUUAAGGGCAGGAUUUUCAGAAGUACCUAAAAGGAUCAGGCACCCAACUCCCAUCUAAAGUCAAUGUUAAGUGAGCAACUAACUCCCUGGGGCACUUUUGAAAAUCUUCCUUAAGUGACUUGUCCAAGAUCACACAGGAACUUUGUGGCAAAGCCAGGAACUGGACCCAGGUCUGCUGAGUCCCAACCCAGUGCAUUAAACACAAGGCAACCCAUCUUCACUUAUGUCCUCAACUGGUUCUAUGUCCUAUAGUUGUACUUGCUAUGCUGAAUUCAAGUGCCAUUGCGGUCACUAGUACUAAACUUUCAUAUUAGUCGGGUGCACUCCCUUGAGGCUGAGGAUGAUCUCUUUCACAGAUUUUAUUUUUUAUGAGUCCCUUGUUGACUGAGGAGUCCGAUCGGCAUGUUGGCAGAUGUUGCAGAUUGUAUUGGAAGUCAGGGUUGGGCCAAGAUUGCUGAGUGACAGUCGUCUGUCCUUUCUUUUCUGGCAUUUUUCAGGGCAAGGCGAUUUUCCUCAAAAGUGGUCAUUCCUUCUCUGACAAGUCUUCACCGGUUAUCUCCCAAUGCGUAGUGUCGAUGCCACCUCUCUUCAUGUUUAUCUUGAAGAUGUCUGUAAAGCGUUUCUUUUGGACUUCCCGUUUCCUUUCUUCUUCGGUGAGUUGGGCGUAGAGCAGUUGUUUCAGUAAGUGAACAUCAGGCAUGCGCACACAGUGCCCGCUCCACCUCAGCUGGCACUGGAUAAUCAGGGCUUCAGCACAGGAUAUUGGCCUCUGUGAGGACACAGACAUUAGUGCAAUUUCCAUAUUACUCUUGCAUUCACAAUAAAUUCCUACCCACUGGUAAGAAAUGUCUUCUAUUCUGAUUGGGUCUUUUACUAACUGGAUUAUGAAGUUGUCUCAUGGAUAGCUCUCUGAGGGUGGUGACCCAUAUGUAGCUCUGCUCGUCACCCAGCAGAUUCCUGGGUUGUUAAAAUCCACCAUUUGGGUGGUAUCCUGCAGUCUUGAGUUCGCUGAAGAUUGAUCUAGGACUUUCAUUCUUGUUGCCUUCUAGUCCUGGGG